AUUGAACGCUGGCGGCAGGCCUAACACAUGCAAGUCGAACGAGAGGCGGACGGGUGAGUAAGGUCUGGGAAAAUGCGAGGUGGAGGGGGAUAACUACUGGAAACGGUAGCUAAUACCGUAUACAAUAGGAUGUGCCCAGAUGGGAUUAGCUAGUAGGUGGGGUAAACGCUAACCAAGGCGCCGAUCCCUAGCUGGACUGAGAGGAUGACCAGCCACACUGGAACUGAGACACGGUCCAGACUCCUACGGGAGGCAGCAGUGGGGAAUAUUGCACAAUGGGCGCAAGCCUGAUGCAGCCAUGCCGCGUGUAUGAAGAAGGCCUUCGGGUUGUAAAGUACUUUCAGCGGGGAGGCGUUACUCGCAGAAUAAGCACCGGCUAACUCCGUGCCAGCAGCCGCGGUAAUUC
rnacentral:rRNA from 1 species